UACGUAGGGGGCAAGCGUUGUCCGGAAUUAUUGGGCGUAAAGAGCGCGUAGGCGGUCCGAUAAGUCGGCUGUGAAAGUCAGGGGCUCAACCCUUGAAAGCCGGCCGAUACUGUCGGACUAGAGUCCGGAAGAGGCAAGUGGAAUUCCCGGUGUAGCGGUGAAAUGCGCAGAUAUCGGGAGGAACACCGGUGGCGAAGGCGGGAUCCUGGGCCAGUACUGACGCUGAGGAGCGAAAGCGUGGGGAGCAAACAGG
rnacentral:rRNA from 1 species